rnacentral:rRNA from 1 species
GAGCGAAGGUGCGAGCGUUUGUUCGGAAUCACUGGGCAUAAAGCGCACGUAGGCGGCGACGGUAAAGUUGGGUGUGAAAUCCCUCGGCCCAACCGAGGAACUUGCGCCCAGUACUGCGUUGCUUGAGGAUCCAAGGGGUGCAUGGAAUUCCCGGUGGAGCGGUGAAAUGCGUUGAUAUCGGGAGGAACUCCGGCGGCGAAAGCGGUGCACUGGUGGAUUUCUGACGCUGAGGUGCGAAAGCCAGGGGAGCAAACGGGA